UAGGGAAUCUUCCACAAUGGGCGCAAGCCUGAUGGAGCAACACCGCGUGAGUGAAGAAGGGUUUCGGCUCGUAAAGCUCUGUUGUUAAAGAAGAACACGUAUGAGAGUAACUGUUCAUACGUUGACGGUAUUUAACCAGAAAGUCACGGCUAACUACGUGCCAGCAGCCGCGGUAAUACGUGGUGGCAAGCGUUAUCCGGAUUUAUUGGGCGUAAAGAGA
rnacentral:rRNA from 1 species